GGGAAUUUUGCCAACACCCAUGUAAGUCUGGGAGAGGACCCACAGCUUCCAAUAAGACCACAGUCCAGCCAGCACACUGACUGCAGUUGUGGGUGACCCUGAGCAGAACACCCAGCUAUACUGCUCCCAGACUCCUGGCUCACAGAAACGAAACUUCAGAAAGCGAAGGACAGACUAAUUAAGUAGCUAUGAGAAGAAUGUUUUAGAGGAGAAAAAUUCCUCAAGGGAGGGGAGAUUCUGCCUAGCAUACCCAAGAGGAGAUGGCAAAAAGAGUGGGGCUUCAGAGGAGCAAAGAAUGGAUGCUUUCUUCAGUUUUAUUCUAAUCAAGAGCAAUAUAGAUCCUAGGCUCCUAGGGCAGAGAAGGUAAGCCCGUCCCAGCACCCGGAAGGAAGCUCCCCCACCGCCAUCCCAAGCUCCUAGGGCAGAGAAGC